rnacentral:lncRNA from 15 species
AGGAGAAACACAAGAGCUGAGGGUGAUGUAUACUUUAGUUAAGGAAGGAAGAGGAUUCUGCUAUUAGGUGGAAUGUGGUAACUGUGAGAAAGGAGAGGAGGGGGAAGAGGCAGAGCGAGUGCAAGAGAGGCAGGCGGGGAGGGGGGGAGCUAGGUUGCUGACUCGGAGCUUUGCCGCGGUGAGCUUUGAGCUAGCGACUCUCUGAGCUCUCUGGCUGUGUGUGUCUGUAGGCUGCUGUGGUGCAGACCGUAGCCUAGCCACGUUAGCCUCCUUCCACCACUUCCACAGUUCAGUCAGCCGGCGGCUCCGGUGUGCUUCAGCUGCAGUUAGGCACUACAGUCUGUAAGUGUCUCUGCCUGUAGCUGAGGAUUUCCUUCCGCUGCCAGGAUUCUCUCCUUUUGGCCAAGGCAGAGAGAGAGAAAGAGAGGGACAGAGAGUAAGAGGAGAAGAAGAGGAAGACAGGAGGGGGAAGAGCGACAGCGGGCCGGCAGUGACCUUCGCGGUGUUGUGGCAAAGCAGAGGAGGAGGAACGGCCAUAGGAUCCAUCAGGUGAAUUUUCCUUCUUUGAGGAGCACUGAUAUGGACACCAGGUGUGGUGACGUAAAGGUAUGUAUUAAACUCUUAUAGCACACGAUUGUGUGCAUCAAACUCACACACAUCUUUUGAAGAUUGCUGUCCUGUCAUUACAUCGUAACCUGCUAUUGAAUCUAUCUUUUGUUCAGCUGAUGUUGAUCUAAAUAUGUGUCUGUGUACCAUAUAGUGGAUUAUAUUUCCCCUCUAUGUCUGUGUGAUUUUUACGCACUAUAUAGUGCCCCAAAAAAUUCCCAUUAUGGAUUUAAUAAAGAACUUUGUGCUAACAAUCAC